AGAAAGGAGCUACGAUUUCUCCUGUUGCAAGAGUCGAAGGUAAGCAAAACUAUAUCAUCUCAUAUCAGCAAGUCCAAGAAUGAUGUACCAGUACAGCCCAACUUGAAUAUAUUCCCAACCAUUUUGAUGGGGGACAGAAGACGGAGCUUCAGG